GCGCCCGUAGCUCAAUUGGAUAGAGCAUCUGACUACGAAUCAGAAGGUUGGGAGUUCGAGUCUCUCCGGGCGCGCCA
rnacentral:tRNA from 4 species